rnacentral:rRNA from 1 species
GUUUGACUGGGGCGGUCGCCUCCUAAAAGGUAACGGAGGCGCUCAAAGGUUCCCUCAGAAUGGUUGGAAAUCAUUCAUAGAGUGUAAAGGCAUAAGGGAGCUUGACUGCGAGACCUACAAGUCGAGCAGGGUCGAAAGACGGACUUAGUGAUCCGGUGGUUCCGCAUGGAAGGGCCAUCGCUCAACGGAUAAAAGCUACCCCGGGGAUAACAGGCUUAUCUCCCCCAAGAGUUCACAUCGACGGGGAGGUUUGGCACCUCGAUGUCGGCUCAUCGCAUCCUGGGGCUGUAGUCGGUCCCAAGGGUUGGGCUGUUCGCCCAUUAAAGCGGUACGCGAGCUGGGUUCAGAACGUCGUGAGACAGUUCGGUCCCUAUCCGUCGUGGGCGUAGGAAAUUUGAGAGGAGCUGUCCUUAGUACGAGAGGACCGGGAUGGACAUACCUCUGGUGUACCAGUUGUCGUGCCAACGGCAUAGCUGGGUAGCUAUGUGUGGACGGGAUAAGUGCUGAAAGCAUCUAAGCAUGAAGCCCCCCUCAAGAUGAGAUU